rnacentral:misc_RNA from 1 species
GAUGAAGGAACGUAGCGAAAUGCGAUAAGUAAUGUGAAUUGCAGAAUUCAGUGAAUCAUCGAAUCUUUGAACGCACAUUGCGCCCGCCAGUAUUCUGGCGGGCAUGCCUGUUCGAGCGUCAUUUCAACCAUCAAGCCCUGCUUGCGUUGGGGUCCUGCGGCUGCCCGCAGGCCCUGAAAACCAGUGGCGGGCUCGCUAGUCACACCGAGCGCAGUAAUACAUCUCGCUUUGGGCGUGCGGCGGGUUCUUGCCGUUAAACACCCCCUUUUUACCAAGGUUGACCUCGGAUCAGGUAGGAAUACCCGCUGAACUUAAGCAUAUCAAUAAGCGGAGGA